rnacentral:tRNA from 1 species
AUCUCACUGGUGCAAUGGCAGCACGGCGGUCUCCAAAACCGUUGAUCGUGGUUCGAGUCCACGGUGAGGUG